rnacentral:rRNA from 1 species
UCCACGCCGUAAACGAUGUCGACUUGGAGGUUGUGCCCUUGAGGCGUGGCUACCGGAGCUAACGCGUUAAGUCGACCGCCUGGGGAGUACGGCCGCAAGGUUAAAACUCAAAUGAAUUGACGGGGGCCCGCACAAGCGGUGGAGCAUGUGGUUUAAUUCGAUGCAACGCGAAGAACCUUACCUGGUCUUGACAUCCACAGAACUUUCCAGAGAUGGAUUGGUGCCUUCGGGAACUGUGAGACAGGUGCUGCAUGGCUGUCGUCAGCUCGUGUUGUGAAAUGUUGGGUUAAGUCCCGCAACGAGCGCAACCCUUAUCUUUUGUUGCCAGCGGUCCGGCCGGGAACUCAAAGGAGACUGCCAGUGUUAAACUGGAGGAAGUGGGGAUGACGUCAAGUCAUCAUGGCCCUUAC